rnacentral:rRNA from 1 species
AUUGAACGCUGGCGGCAGGCCUAACACAUGCAAGUCGACCGAGUGGCGGACGGGUGAGUAAUGUCUGGGAAACUGCCUGAUGGAGGGGGAUAACUACUGGAAACGGUAGCUACUACCGCAUACCAUCAGAUGUGCCCAGAGGGGAUUAGCUAGCUGGUGGGGUAACAGCUCACCAAGGCGACGAUCCCUAGCUGGUCGGAGAGGAUGACCUGCGACACUGGAACUGUGACAAGGUGCAGACGCGUACGGGAGGCAGCAGGGGGGAAUAUUGCACAAUGGGCGCAAGCCAGAUGCAGGGAAGGCGCAUGUAUGAGGAGGGCAUUCGGGGUGUAAAGUACUUUCGGCGGGUAGGCGUUACCCGCAGAAGAAGCACCGGGUAACGCCGAGCCAGCAGCCGCGGUAAUUC